ensembl:rRNA 5S_rRNA 5S ribosomal RNA
AUCUACAACCAUACUAACCUGAACGCGCGACAUCUCAUCUGAUCUCGGAAGCUAAGCAGGGUCGGGCCUGUUUAGUACUUGGAUGGGAGACCGCCUGGGAAUACCGGGUGCUGUAGGCU